GAUAAACGCUGGCGGCGUGCGUAAAACAUGUAAGUUGAACGGAGUCGACGCAAGUCGGCUUAGUGGCGGACGGCUGAGUAACGCGUAGGUGACUUGCCCCAAAGAGGGGAAUAACACCGCGAAAGCGGUGCUAAUACCGCAUGUGGUUGUGCGUAUAGACGCGUGCAACUAAAGCCCGCAAGGGUGCUUUGGGAGAGGCCUGCGUCCGAUUAGCUAGUUGGUGGGGUAACGGCCUACCAAGGCUCCGAUCGGUAGCUGAUCUGAGAGGAUGAUCAGCCAGACUGGGACUGAGACACGGCCCAGACU
rnacentral:rRNA from 1 species